CUGCUCCCAGCACCUCCAGGAAGGGUGUGUGAGUAUGUGUGUGUGUGUGUGUGUGUGUGUGUGUGAGAGAGAGAGAGAGAGAGUGUGACAGAGCGGGAGAGUACGUAUGUGCGCAUCCGCCUGCUGCGCGCGAUUGUGCAUGAGCAUGCAUGCGUCUGUCUGGGUGAUUGAGGCUGAGGGGAUGGGAGGAGAGGAUGCAAGGGAGAGAGAACGAGGACAUGCGUUAGAGGCAGAGAGGAGAGUAAAUAGGAACAGAUCAACCCACACACGCACAGAAACAUACAAAAUAUCAACUCCUCAGGUAAAGUCCAGGGGAAAAAAGGAUGAGAUCUUUGGCUAGAUGUCCUUUGUUUCCCUCCCCCUUCUCUGCAUCACAGACUGUCCUCUUUAAGGAUGAGGGCCCCUUUACCCGCUUUCCCUCCUCUUUUUGUGCCUCACCUGACUGUUAGACACAACUCACAGCCGACGGGAACCAUGCAAAGACAGCAGGUCUGACUCUAUCUUGUGAAGUGGUUUACACCUGGGACUGAAACUUUGUUGAACUGCAGUAAAGGAAACACAAACGAACAAGCAAACCUUCCGACGCACUCCUCCAGACUCAUGUGUGGAGAGUGAAUGGACGAUUAGAGGGACGGAACAAGGAGCAGAGUGAGAGGACAGGACAGGGCAAUGUGGAGAGGUGGUGGUGGGGACGGAGCCAGGACGGUGUCACAACCAAUCUGCUCCAGUUCACUGAUACCAAAAAGAAAGACGAGAGGAGCAGGGGGAGGAGGAGGUGUGUCUGUGAGCAUCUGGUGCGGUCUCUUUAAAUGCUAUUGAGGCACUUCACACCCCGCCCCCUCCAGACAGAUGGAACUGACCCCUUAAUCAGAUGAAGAUUUUCAGCAAAUCCUUCUUGAUACUGGCAGAAGUUCAUGAAGCACUGGUCCUUGAAGUGGGGAAAUAAGAAUUUUCCCACUGAUGUGGUUACAUUUCCAUGAAAAAUAAAAUUUAACCAGACACUUUUACUUUGGUUCUGAUUCUGGGAGAUGGUGUAAUGAAUUGUGUGGGUUAAUACACCCAGUAACCAAACUUUUAGACUUAUCCACAUGCAGCUUCGGCAUACUUAUGCUUGGACUACAAAAUCCAGCGAGAAAGAAAAAUGGCAGAUACGCGAAAUGAAUAUCUGGAAGCCCAUGGCCUUGAUCGGCUGCUCCGCAGCAAAUACUGUGACGUAAGAGUACCAAAACCAUAACAGAGAAUAGAGAAAAUUGAACGGAUGAAAAAUAUUACCCAAACAGAAUAUAUAAGCA